rnacentral:rRNA from 1 species
AACGAACGCUGGCGGCAUGCCUAACACAUGCAAGUCGAGCGCCCGUAGCAAUACGGGAGCGGCGCACGGGUGAGUAACGCGUGGGAACCUGCCCAGAGGUCCGGGACAACCGCGGGAAACUGCGGCUGAUACCGGAUGAUACCUGAGGGUCAAAGAUUUAUCGCCUUUGGAGGGGCCCGCGUCGGAUUAGGUAGUUGGUGGGGUAACGGCCUACCAAGCCUGUGAUCCGUAACUGGUCUGAGAGGAGGACCAGUCACACUGGGACUGAGACACGGCCCAGACUCCUACGGGAGGCAGCAGGGGGGAGUAUUGGAAAAUGGGGGCAACCCUGAUCCAGCAAUGCCGCGUGGGUGAUGAAGGCCUUCGGGUUGUAAAGCCCUUUCGGCGGGGACGAUGAUGACGGUACCCGCAGAAGAAGCCCCGGCUAACUUCGUGCCAGCCGCCGCCGUAAGAC